rnacentral:hammerhead_ribozyme from 1 species
GUACUGAUGAAGAGUCCCAAACUAGGACGAAACAGUUGUCCAUUAC